UCUCGCAAUUCGUCAUCUAUUUACAUCUUACCUUGACUGAGUUGCUGUACAGUGAAUUGUAAUUGACUGGAGUAUAUAAACGUUAGUUUUUAAUCAUAGCGUUGGCACUACACAUCGGAUCUUUUAUCUGUGUCAGUUAUUGGAAUGCGGCCAUGCUGGGGCACCGCCUUGACGUGUUUAGUCAAGCAAAUUGGUUGCAGAGAACAAACACAAAGACAUAUACGACCGGCUUCCACACAGUUUCCAAUUAUGAAAUUUAUUCAAAAAGUAUUAGAAAACAUGCCGAGCAGUGGGAGUGAAUCCAAAAAGCACGUUUUUGUUGAGCGUUCUUAGCACAGUCAUACCUGCACCCAGGAUAUUUUUUGUGAAAUACAUUUUAAAUAACGUAGUGUUACUGUCGCAAAAAUUAGACGCUUUAGUUAAGAUUAACAUAAAUAUAAUUUAUACAAGGAGCAUUACUAAUCGAACUGGUUGUAAUUUGUGAUGAAAGAAAGAAAAAAAAGUGAAAUGCAAAUAAUUCUUUUUGAAGGAAAACUAGCACAUAUGACCUAUGAAGGAAACUAGCACCUUUUGGGAUGAAAGGAAGGAGGGAGGAAGUUAAUCACAAACUGAAGAAUUGUCUGGUUUUGUUGGAGCUCCUGGAGUCUUGCAUGCGUAGCGGGCUUACUACCUGCAGCCUAGGGUACCAUGUUAUUCGUUCUUUUCAGCUAUCUAAUACUUACCUGAUUAUUUUGGCCGUGCCAAGGAGGUGAACCUUUAGUAACAGUUCUGCUAGGCACUCUAUUCCAAUUUUCUUUAUAUUCCCCUCGAUGCCUCCUGAUACUGUUCCCAAGGACCCAACAAUAACUGACACUAUCUUCACCUUCUUCAUUUUCCAUAACCAGGCUAAUUCGUACUUAAGAGGGUUGUAUUUAUCUAACUUUUCGCCUUCCUUCUUAACUCUUCGUGGGUUAAAAGGGCAUGCAACAGCAACUAUAUAUAUAGCAUAUGUGGUACACCUUGUCCUCCACCACUAGGUCCGGUCUGUUAUGCUCUACCACCUGAUCUGUUUGGAUUGGGAAAUCCCAAAGGAUUUUGCUAGUCUCCGACUCCAUCACUCUCUGCGGUUUGUGCUCAUACCACAUCUUGCCUCUCUCUAGCCCCCUCUAUUUGCACAGUUUCCAAUGUAGCACUUUCGCUACCUGGUCGUGUCGCCACAGCUUGUAAUGGUUUUGGGCAAGUCCAGGGCAUUCGUUCGUAAUAUGGGCAAUGGUUUCAUCCACUCUAUUGCAGACGUGGCACAGCGUAGACACUUACUCAUUCCUAAAGUUGACCCUCCAGUUCGUAGCCAUAGCUUGGUCUUACGUUGCCAGUAUAGUGCUCUCGGUCUCUUUUUUUAGGGUUCCUUUCAUCAGCCAAUCCCACCUAUUUUUCCAGCAACUUCUCUUGUGGCUAUUGGUUGUGUAGUCACUUCAUGCGCAUUUCUUCUUCAUGUCCUUUUUGUACUUCUUCCUUUGUUUUCCCUCUUUUCUCUGCUCUCAAUACUCCCUCGUUCCUAACUGUCACUAGCAAUGUUUCCUUACUUUGGGCAAGGUAUCUCAUUAAGCUCUCGAGUUCGAUAUGCACGCAAUCUUCCACACUUAUC